rnacentral:rRNA from 1 species
AAUGAACGUUGGCGGCGUGGAUUAGGCAUGCAAGUCGUACGAGAAUCGUAGCAAUACGAGGAAAGUGGCGGAAGGGAGAGGAUUACGUGGGAAUCUACCCUCAGAACUGGGAUAGCGGCGGGAAACUGCCGGUAAUACCAGAUAAUGUCUGUGGACCAAAGGUGUGAUUCCGUCUGGGGAUGAUCCCACGGCCUAUUAGCUAGUUGGCAGGGUAAUGGCCUACCAAGGCCAUGAUGGGUAGCGGGUGUGAGAGCAUGACCCGCCUCACUGGGACUGAGACACUGCCCAGACACCUACGGGUGGCUGCAGUCGAGAAUCUUCGGCAAUGGGCGCAAGCCUGACCGAGCGAUGCCGCGUGCGGGAUGAAGGCCUUCGGGUUGUAAACCGCUGUCGAGGGGGAGCAACUUCCAUAGAGUUAUCUUUAUGGAUUGAGUGAUCCCUGGAGGAAGGACGGGCUAAGUUCGUGCCAGCCGCCGCUGUAAUAC